rnacentral:rRNA from 1 species
GGACCGGGGGCCCGCACAAGCGGAGGAGCAUGUUGGUUUUAAUUCGAUGAUACGCGAGGUAACCUUACCGUGGGACUUAAAUGCUUAAUGACGUACGUAGGGAAACUGGUUAUUUCUUCGGACUAUUUUGCAAGGUGCUGCAUGGUUGUCGUCAGCUCGUGCCGUGAGGUGUCGGGUUAAGUCCCAUAACGAGCGCAACCCCUAUUGUUAGUUGCCAUCAGGUCAUGCUGGGGACUCUAACAAAACUGCCCGCGUAAGCGUGGAGGAAGGUGGGGAUGACGUCAAAUCAGCACGGCCCUUACGUCCAGGGCUACACACGUGCUACAAUGGCCGGUACAGAGGGCAGCCACUUGGUGACAAGGAGCAAAUCUCAAAAGCCGGUCUCAGUUCGGAUCGGAGUCUGCAACUCGACUCCGUGAAGUUGGAUUCGCUAGUAAUCGUAGAUCAGCAAUGCUACGGUGAAUACGUUCCCGGGCCUU